ACUUAAAUUUAAUAAAAAAUACUAGAAUAUUAUAAGUUAUGUUCUUUAAAUUUAAAAAAUUUGGCGGUGUUUUAGUCUGGUUAGAGGAACCUGUUUUAUAAACGAUAUAACACGCAUUAUUUUACUUAUUUUAGUAUUACAGCUUGUAUACCGUCAUUAUAAGAUAAUUUAAGAGAGAAUAUUAUUAAAAUCAUAUUGUUGAGUAUAUUAGAUCAAGGUGCAGCUUAUAGAUAAGUAAACAUGGGUUACAAUAAAAGUUAUUUAAUAUGAAUUAAGUAUUUAAAUAUAUUUAUGAAGGAGGAUUUAAUUGUAAGGAAAGAAGUAGUGAGAUUUUCUGAUAGAAGCUCUAAAUUAUGUACAUAUCGCCCGUCGCUUUCAUUUAAUAUGAAAUAAGUCGUAACAUAGUAGAUGUACUGGAAAGUGCA
rnacentral:rRNA from 1 species